GGGUAGUUUGACUGGGGCGGUCUCCUCCUAAAGAGUAACGGAGGAGCACGAAGGUUGGCUAAUCCUGGUCGGACAUCAGGAGGUUAGUGCAAUGGCAUAAGCCAGCUUGACUGCGAGCGUGACGGCGCGAGCAGGUGCGAAAGCAGGUCAUAGUGAUCCGGUGGUUCUGAAUGGAAGGGCCAUCGCUCAACGGAUAAAAGGUACUCCGGGGAUAACAGGCUGAUACCGCCCAAGAGUUCAUAUCGACGGCGGUGUUUGGCACCUCGAUGUCGGCUCAUCACAUCCUGGGGCUGAAGUAGGUCCCAAGGGUAUGGCUGUUCGCCAUUUAAAGUGGUACGCGAGCUGGGUUUAGAACGUCGUGAGACAGUUCGGUCCCUAUCUGCCGUGGGCGCUGGAGAACUGAGGGGGGCUGCUCCUAGUACGAGAGGACCGGAGUGGACGCAUCACUGGUGUUCGGGUUGUCAUGCCAAUGGCACUGCCCGGUAGCUAAAUGCGGAAGAGAUAAGUGCUGAAAGCAUCUAAGCACGAAACUUGCCCCGAGAUGAGUUCUCCCUGACCCUUUAAGGGUCCUGAAGGAACGUUGAAGACGACGACGUUGAUAGGCCGGGUGUGUAAGCGCAGCGAUGCGUUG
rnacentral:rRNA from 1 species